UGGGGUCAGCCACAGAUUUUGGGGUCAGCCCCGACUUUGGGCUCAGCCACAGAUUUUGGGGUCAGCACAGACUUUGGGGUCGGUACCGACAUUGGGGUCAGCACCGUCAUUGGGGUCCAGCACAAACUUUGGGGUCAGCACAGACUUUGGGGUCAGCUCCGACUUUGGGGUUAGCCACAGAUUUUGGGGUCAGCACAGACUUUGAGGUCACCCAUCGACUUUGGGGUCAGCUCCGACUUUGGGGUCUGCCACAGAUUUUGGGGUCAGCACAGACUUUGGGGUCGGUACCGACAUUGGGGUCAGCCACAGAUUUUGGGGUCACCCGCCGACUUUGGGGUCAGCACCGUCAUUGGGGUCCGCCACAAACUUUGGGGUCAGCACAGACUUUGGGGUCACCCAUCGACUUUGGGGUCAGCUCCGACUUUGGGGUCAGCCACAGAUUUUGGGGUCAGCACCAUUAUUGGGGUCAGUACCGACUUUGGGGUCAGCUACAAACUUUGGGGUCAGCACCGACAUUGGGGUCGGCACCGACAUUGGGGUCACCCACCGACACUGGGGUCCCCCCUCGGGAUCGGGGCUCCCCGUGGACUUUGGGGUCCCCACGGAUGUCGGGGUUUCCCGAUAUUGGGGUCCCAUAG
rnacentral:lncRNA from 1 species